AUUUAGAAGACGUCUUGCACUGUUCGAAUGCAGAGGAAGGCGAAUGACUCGAUUCUAUGCUUUACUGAAGUAUAAUUGAUAUGCAAAUGAUGGCACAUAUAUAAUGUGUAAAAUUUGAUGAGUUUGGACAUAUGCAAACACCCAUGAUCCCAUCACCACACUCAAGGUUUUGGUAUACUGAGCCUGGGGCUACUGGUGUCAGCCUGGUGGUAGUGCAGCUCAUCUGAUGCCUGGGGCUGCAGGAUCCUAGUUGGUUCCUGUGACAGACCUUGGGAAGCUCAAUCUCAGGAAAAAGAAGAGAGAGCCAACUACUCUACAAAGGAAAAGGGAUUUAGUUUGUAGGAUUUUCCUUGUUAUGAGAGGAGCAGAAACCUAACUGUUGACAAGGAUGUGUUUUCUUAAUUGAAGAAAAUCAUAUCACAUGUGAACUUUCUGACCAUACUGUGGAGCGGUGCUAAUAAGGAGGGUUCUGUGUUCACUUGACUACCAGAAACAUUUCUAGUUUACCAUCAGAGUUUUAGCCGCUUCCAUGCUUCUGUGACUG
rnacentral:sRNA from 1 species